CCUACGGGAGGCAGCAGUGAGGAAUAUUGGUCAAUGGGCGCGAGCCUGAACCAGCCAAGUAGCGUGAAGGAUGACUGCCCUACGGGUUGUAAACUUCUUUUAUAAAGGAAUAAAGUGAGGCACGUGUGCCUUUUUGUAUGUACUUUAUGAAUAAGGAUCGGCUAACUCCGUGCCAGCAGCCGCGGUAAUACGGAGGAUCCGAGCGUUAUCCGGAUUUAUUGGGUUUAAAGGGAGCGUAGAUGGGGUGUUAAGUCAGUUGUGAAAGUUUGCGGCUCAACCGUAAAAUUGCAAUUGAUAAUGGCAGGUGUGAGUACAGUGGAGGUAGGCGGAAUUCGUGGUGUAGCGGUGAAAUGCUUAGAUAUCACGAAGAACCCCGAUUGCGAAGGCAGCUUACUAAACUGCCACUGACAUUGAUGCUCGAAAGUGUGGGUAUCAAACAGGAUUAGAUACCCGAGUAGUC
rnacentral:rRNA from 1 species